rnacentral:rRNA from 1 species
AGAGCGAACGCUGGCGGCAGGCCUAACACAUGCAAGUCGAACGGACUCUUCGGAGUUAGUGGCGGACGGGUGAGUAACACGUGGGAACGUGCCUUUAGGUUCGGAAUAGCUCCUGGAAACGGGUGGUAAUACCGAAUGUGCCCUUCGGGGGAAAGAUUUAUCGCCUUUAGAGCGGCCCGCGUCUGAUUAGCUUGUUGGUGAGGUAAUGGCUCACCAAGGCUACGAUCAGUAGCUGGUCUGAGAGGAUGACCAGCCACAUUGGGACUGAGACACGGCCCAAACUCCUACGGGAGGCAGCAGUGGGGAAUCUUGCGCAAUGGGCGAAAGCCUGACGCAGCCAUGCCGCGUGUAUGAUGAAGGUCUUAGGAUUGAAAAUACUUUCACCGGUGAAGAUAAUGACUGUAGCCGGAGAAGAAGCCCCGGCUAACUUCGUGCCAGCAGCCGC